rnacentral:snRNA from 1 species
AGCGUUGCACAAUGGCAGUAUCAUAGCCAAUGAGGUUUAUCUGAGGCGCGAUUAUUGCUAAUUGAAAACAUUUGCUGAAUGCU